AACGAACGCUGGCGGCAUGCCUAACACAUGCAAGUCGAACGACACCUUCGGGUCUAGUGGCGCACGGGUGCGUCACGCGUGGGAACCUGCCCUUAGGUUCGGAAUAACUCCCCGUCAGGGGUGCUAAUACCGGAUAAUUUCUUCGGACCAAAGAUUUAUCGCCUUUGGAUGGGCCCGCGUUGGAUUAGCUAGUUGGUAGGGUAAAAGCCUACCAAGGCGACGAUCCAUAGCUGGUCUGAGAGGAUGAUCAGCCACACUGGGACUGAGACACGGCCCAGACUCCUACGGGAGGCAGCAGUGGGUAAUAUUGGACAAUGGGCGAAAGCCUGAUCCAGCAAUGCCGCGUGAGUGAUGAAGGCCUUAGGGUUGUAAAGCUCUUUUACCCGGGAUGAUAAUGACAGUACCGGGAGAAUAAGCUCCGGCUAACUCCGUG
rnacentral:rRNA from 1 species